rnacentral:rRNA from 1 species
UGGGGAAUUUUGGACAAUGGGCGAAAGCCUGAUCCAGCAAUGCCGCGUGUGUGAAGAAGGCCUUCGGGUUGUAAAGCACUUUUGUCCGGAAAGAAAUCCUUGGCUCUAAUACAGUCGGGGGAUGACGGUACCGGAAGAAUAAGCACCGGCUAACUACGUGCCAGCAGCCGCGGUAAUACGUAGGGUGCAAGCGUUAAUCGGAAUUACUGGGCGUAAAGCGUGCGCAGGCGGUUUGCUAAGACCGAUGUGAAAUCCCCGGGCUCAACCUGGGAACUGCAUUGGUGACUGGCGGGCUAGAGUAUGGCAGAGGGGGGUAGAAUUCCACGUGUAGCAGUGAAAUGCGUAGAGAUGUGGAGGAAUACCGAUGGCGAAGGCAGCCCCCUGGGCCAAUACUGACGCUCAUGCACGAAAGCGUGGGGAGCAAACAGGAUUAGAUACCCUGGUAGUCCACGCCCUAAACGAUGUCAACUAGUUGUUGGGGAUUCAUUUCCUUAGUAACGUAGCUAACGCGUGAAGUUGACCGCCUGGGGAGUACGGUCGCAAGAUUAAAACUCAAAGGAAUUGACGGGGUCUG